CAAUCUAUUUCUUAAGGUAUCUUCUCUCCACAUUUUCUUUUUCAUGAGUUGACAGCUUUGUGGUGAUAGAGCACAGAGUAGUAAGAGAAGAAGAAAUCGGGAGAGACAGAGGAUGGAGAUCAUUCGGCCAGGAGCAAUCAUACCUGACUCAUCUCUGCUUCCCAUUAGCACCUUGACUCCUCACCAUCUCUUGACACCAACACUUUCUGCCGAGAUGUCAAAUGACCCAAAAGUCUCUCGAGUCAUCUGCAUGACCUUCGAGGACCCAUCAAACUGAGAACAGUGCAGGAAGCAGGUGUUUCAGCCGUGGAUACUAUAGUGGUAUCACCCAGGUCAGAGAACAAGAAAGACAGCAUGCUCGCAGGAGGACAACUCUAGGUUCUGAGAAAAAGUGGAGGAUGAUCUAAUGAAGGCAUUUCAGCGCAGAGACCACGCUGCCCAGAAGCAGAGCAGCGAGAACAGACCUGGACGGCUAUGGGAAGCACUUUGUUAAGACAGGGUACCAGGCCAUCCAAUCACACAAUAUUUAUGCCCUUCACGUUUUAAAACUACUUUUUGUAGUCAAAAGUGCUUCCACCUUCAACUUGCCAUGAAUAAUGACUGCUAACUAAACUAACAAAACAAAAAUGCUUUAAAAGCUGUGCACCCCUGCAGAAAUCUGUACCAGAAUCUCACUGCUAUAAACUGAAUUGUGUACCCCCAAAUUUGUGUGGUGAAGCUCUCACCUUACGUGACUGUAUUUGGAGAUAGGGCCUAUAAGGAGGUAAUUAAGGUUAAAUGAGGUCAUGAGGGUGGGGCCCUGAUCUGAUAGAUUAGUGUCCUUAUAAGAAGAGACACCAGAGACCCAGCAUUCUUGCUCUCUCUCUCUGUCUUAGUCUUUCUCUCUCUCUUUUUCUCCCUACCCACCCCUUCCUCACUCUCCACCAUGCGAGGACACAGACACUCACCAGAAACUGAUUUGUCCGGCACCUGCGUCUUGGACUUCCCAGCCUCCAGAACUGUGAGAAAAUAGUUUCUGCUGUUUAAGUCCUGCAGUCUGUGGCAUUUUGUUAUGGUGGCCCAAGCUGACUAAUAUGAUCACUCUAAACCCUUCACUAGUGGUUCAUGCUGAGGUCCCAGAAACAGUGCUACCAAAGUGAGUCUGACGCCGGAAGAGGGCUUUCUCAUCUGAAGUCCUCGCUGUGAUCUCCAUCGCUGCCUUGAGAGAGAAUCUGGCCAGGAGUUUUUACACCCAUCCCAGAAUCAGAGAACUGAGGUCCCCCAGCAUUCAGCCCAACGCCCGGCUCAUAGUAGAAGGUCAAUACAUGUUUGGUGGAUGUAACCUUGGAGGAUCCCAGGUCUAGAAUGGAGGUAUUCCCACCCCUCUUCCAGGGCUCCUUAUUCUCUUCAGCACUGUGUUUUCUCUAAGGUCGCAGUUUAAGGUGCUAAGAAAAGACUUCUCAAAGCUGCCUACAGUUGUAAUCUGGGUUCAAGGUCCUAGCUGAGUGAUCUCGGGCUGGUUAAAUGUCUCAGUUUGGGUUCCCUAAGGAAAACUCAGAUCCAAGUAGUUUAUUUGGGAGACGCAGGAAAUACCAGUAUGGUGGUGGGAAGAUGACAGCACGACAAAGGCAGCCAAUCAAGUGUAUUAUCAAGCGGGUCACCACUGUGGGCCACUGGAGCUUACUUCCCUAGGGACCCCUGGGGAUCAGGGUAGAACACUUGCCUCAGAAUUAAAUCCCCACCCUGCCACCAAGGGGUGAGGGAGCCAGAGAAUUUAUGCACCAACUUCUCUCAUAAUUUAUCCCCAGCACAUUUAUCCCCCAACACAUCUGACAUGCAAGAACACACCACCUUCAGAGGCCAGCAGAAGCUCUCAGGCCCAGUUCUGGCAUUUGGAAGUUGAGCUGGUAGGCACUGAAAUAGUGAGGACCAAGGAGAUAUGGGCAGGGCACAGACAGCAUCUGCUGUCUGUAAAAGGAAGACUAGUACCCAAUUCAUUAAAUGAGUUAAUAUUUGUAACACACUUCAAACACUCUAUGGCAUACAAAUGCAUAAGUGUGGCAGAUUGCAUUUUCCCAUAUGCAGACACAGCAGCUUUGUGGUCCCAUAUGCUCUUUGAGAACCUUGCCACUCCCUAUUAAGGGGUGGAGUCUAUUCCGUGCCCCCACCUCUCAUCCUCCACCUAGAACCCAGUGGGACUUUGUGACUACCUUGAUGAACAUAAUGCUGCAGAAGUGAAGCCGCUGGGUUCUGAGGCUAGGUUAUAUAAGGUAAUAUUGGUCUGCCUGUCUCUCUCUCUGUGUAUGUACACAUAUAUAAAUACACACACACUCCUGCCUUGGGAGCCCUACCCUGUAGCUGCCACACUGGAGAGAUCACAUGGAGAGACACUACAGGAACAGACAGAGAUGUCCAGACUCAGCUGUUGGAGUUGUCCCAGAUCAGGUGCCACAUGGGUGAGCAAAGAAGCCUUUGGGGUGACCUAGCCACAGCCACUUAAUAGCUACGACCAUGGGACAGACCCUGAGCCGGAUAUGCUCAAUUAUGCCAGACCCAAAUUCCUGAUCCACAGAAACCGUGAGAGAUAAUAAAUAAUUACUGUUAUUUUAAGAGACUAAAUUUUGAGAUUAACUUUUUAUGUAGCCAUAGUAACUGGAACAGUGCUUGAUAAAUAAAAUCGAAAAUCUUAACUCUUCUACUCAUAACCCCUCCUAAGAUAUGAAAGGAAACCUUCAUGUCCUGGAUUCCACAUCCUACCAGAUGGUUAUAACCCAAGCGCAUGCUUUUCUGGAAGUCAUAUCUUCACAAUGUUGUUAUGUUAAGGAUUUGUGUUAAGGUUGACAUGCAAAAGUUAGAUUUAGUCCUGGACUGGAUGUUGUGGUGAUUCCUUAAAACCCAUUUUGCUCAUCUUCCAUCCUGUAGAGGUCAGGUUGUUUGGUCACUCACCUCCAGCUCCAGAAGUAGGCCCUGAAUGGUCUAAACUAUCAGGGAAUCCUAGGACUCUUGCCACAGUGACCACACAAGUCAGGCAUAAGCCAAUCAGCAUUGAUUAGGGAUGGUGUAUCAGUAACCACAUCCAGGACUUUUGCUGGGGAUUCUGGGGCACUGAAGCAUUCUUCCUCUGGGAAGUGUCAGGUUCAGACAUGCACGCUGGAUCCAUUGCAAUCAUUUUGCUACCAUGAGGAAAACCAGCCUGAGAAUAGAAUCAACACAUGAAACAGGCAAGAUUGAGAGAAUCACCCAGAAAUCAGUCUAGAGCCUUGAUCAAACCAUGCUUUAAGUGCAAACUACAUCUGCAUUUACAGCUGUGGGAGCCAAGAAGUUGCCUUUAUUGUUUAAACUACUUUGAUGGAAUUUCUAUUACUUGUAACCCAAAGUGCCCUGAUUAAUUCAGGUAUCAAGACAUCAGACACUGUCAACAGACCUAAUCCAUUAGUCUAGUGACUGAUGUUACCAGAACUGAUCUUCAGAGGUGGAAGAGAGGAGC
ensembl:lncRNA